rnacentral:rRNA from 1 species
UACGUAGGGGCCGAGCGUUGUCCGGAGUUAUUGGGCGUAAAGCGCGCGCAGGCGGCCUCGCGCGCCCGACGUGAAAGCCCCCGGCUUAACCGGGGAGGGUCGUUGGGGACGGCGGGGCUUGAGGGCGGGAGAGGUCGGUGGAAUUCCCGGUGUAGUGGUGAAAUGCGUAGAGAUCGGGAGGAACGCCUGUGGCGAAGGCGGCCGACUGGGCCGACCCUGACGCUGAGGCGCGAAGGCGUGGGGAGCGAACGGG